AGCGAACGCUGGCGGCAUCUGCUUAACACAUGCAAGUCGAACGGACUUUAUGGGCUUGCCCAUAAGGUUAGUGGCAGACUUGGGUGAGUAACACGUGGGAACUUGCCCUUUAGACUGGGACAACCAUUGGAGACGAUGGCUUAAAUACCGGAUACGCCCUGAGGGGGAAAGGAGAAAUCCGCUAAAGGAGAGGCCCGCGGCAGGGAUUAGGUAGUAGGUGAGGUAAAAGCUCCCCUAGCCGAUGAUCUGUAGCUGGUUUGAGAGGCCACGAACAGCCACACUGGGACUGAGACACGGCCCAGACUCCUACGGGAGGCAGCAGUGGGGCUAAUAUUGGACAAUGGGGGAAACCCUGAUCCAGCAAUGCCGCGUGAAUGAAGAAGGCCUUACAGGGUUGUAAAGUUCUUUUCUUCGUGACGAUAAUGACGGUAACGAAGGAAUAAGCCCCGGCGCUAACUCUGUGCCAGCAGCCGCGGUAAUACAGAGGGGGCAAGCGUUGUCCGGAAUAACUGGUCGCGUAAAGGACGCGUAGGCGGUUUUUUAAGUCGGAUGUGAAAUCCCUGGGCUCAACCUAGCCGAAUAGCAUACGAUACUGGAAGACUAGAGACCGAGAGAGGAAAGCGGAAUUACGAGUGUACCGAGGUGAAAUUCGU
rnacentral:rRNA from 1 species